ACUCAGCUGACGAGUCCCAAAUAGGACGAAACGCGAAU
rnacentral:hammerhead_ribozyme from 1 species